GCUUUAGUGGCCGAGUGGUUAAGGCGUCGGAUUUAAGCUUUAGCUUUUGUUUCCCGAUGGAUUUAUCCGCAAGAGUUCGAUCCUCUUCUAAAGCA